UGGUCUCGAACUCCUGACCUCAAGUGAUUCUCCUGCCUCUGCCUCCCAAAGUGCUGGGAUUAUAGGCGUGAGCCACUGCACCAGGCCAAAUAAUUUUUGAAUGGAUAAAUAGAGAAGUAUGGACAAGAGCAGGAGAGCAGGGCUACAAAUGUAAAUGCUUACAGGAGCCCCCUAGGUAGUGCAAAUGAGAAAGGUACACUGGUGGUGACCAAAAGGGAAGGGUAGGGACUGGGGGAAACCAGAGAGUACUUGCCUCAGCUAGUUAAGGGCAGCCAUUCCCUGCAUAGCUGUCUGAGUUGACCGUAGAGGCUAUACUGGCAUGUGAGCCUAGAGUUGCCUGCUCUGCCAAAAUUUCUAGAGAAGGUGAAAACCAGACAUUUAUGUAAUACCUCCUGAUUUUAAUAUUGGUAACAAAUUUUUUCAACUUGUCGUGACACUGGGUAGAGCAAACAGAGCAUUCCAAGGGCUGGCUCUAGCUUUGGGCCCACCGGUUUGCAGAUUCCAGACCCGAUGGACGGUGUGAGAACUUGCAGCUCUGUGAGUCUGUGGCCUGGAAGUCAACGGUCCUGAGAACCUGGCUCUCUCUCUGGGGUUUCCAAACAGGAAAAGAAAAAAGGAAGAGAGAGGGUGAGUUUAUAGUAAACAUUUGGCAUUGUUGUGUGCUUUAUGUGGUUGUAUCUUUUAUUUAAUCCUCAUGAGAGUGAUAAGACAUAGGUAUUAUUGUCCAGGCCAUACAGAUGAGGAAACUGAGGCUUGAAGAGUUUUUUGUUUUCUUAGACAAGGUCUCGUUCUGUCACCCAGGCUGCAGUGCAGUGGCACGGUCACAGCUCACUGCAGCCUCAACCUCCAGGGCUCAAUCUAUCCUCCCGCCUUAGCCUCUCAAGUAGCUGGAACUACAGGCAUGUGCCACUGUACCCAGCUAAAUUUUUUUUUCCCCUAGAGAUGGGGUUUUGCUAUGCUUCCCAGGCUGAUCUCAAACUCCUAGGUUCAAGCAAUCCACCCACCUCAGCCUCCCAAAGUGCUGGGAUUACAGGCAUGAGUCACACUGUGCCUAGCCGAAGAGUUUCAGUUGUCAAAGGUCUCAGAGCUAGUAACCACAGCUGGUGGAACCGGGAUUUGAAUUCACCCGCUUGGACCCCAGUUUCUGGGUGGUCCCCCUCAUUGCACUGCCUCUCCUCUGCAUUAAGAAGGUCCAGGACCAGGCAUGGUGGCUCGUGCCUGUAAUCCCAGCACUUUGGGAGGCCGAGGCGGGCGGAUUGUGAUGUCAGGAGAUCCAGACCAUCCCGGCUAACACGGUGAAACCCCAUCUCUACUAAAAAUACAAAAACAAAAACAAAAACAAACAAACCAAAAAAAGAAGGUCCAGGCGGGGCGUGGUGCCGAGUGCCUGUAGUCUCAGCUACUCAGGAGGCUGAAGCAAGAGGAUGCCUUGAGCCCAGGAGUUCUGGGCUGUAGUGCACUAUGCAGAUCAGGUGUCUGCACUGAGUUCAGCUUCAGCGUGGUGACCUCCCGGGAGUGGGGAACCACCAGAUUGCCUGAGGAGGGGUGAGCCAGCCCAGGCCGGACACACAAUGGGUCACAAUUUCCAUGCUACCCAUGCUAAUCAGCAGUGGGAUCGGGCCUGUAAAUAGCCACUGCGCACCAGCCUGGGCAACAUAACGAGAACCCACCUCUAAAAAAAAAAUAAAAAAUAAAAAAAGAAGAAGAAAGGCCAGGAUGACAGCUAAGAGAAGUCUUCUCCCUUAGCAGUGGAGGGAGGUAUGAGGCCCACUGCCUCACCUGGAGCUUCUGAGGCUCAGCAGUGCCAUGGUCCUCACAUCUCUAGAGUGGUUUUCCAUUUUCCAAGCACUUUCACAUUCAUUUGUACAUGCCAGACCUUUUUGGUAGGUGUUGCUGUUACUAUCCUUACUUUACAGAAGAAGAAAUGGAAGUCAAGCUGUCUGCCCCCAUCACAUGUCUGAAAGCAUGGAACAGGGGGAGUUCCAGAGGCUAUUUUUGCUGCAUGUAUCCUGCCUCUCUAGGCUGUAGAACGGGAGGAGGCCAAGCCAGGGGAAGGAGUGAUGGGGAAGAGAGAGAAGCCGGUGUCAGAGGCUACAGACAGAGUGCUGGAGACUGGAUGAUCUGAGAGGCCUAGGGCAGCCAGGGUUGCAGGAAAGUUGAAAGCCCCAGGUGCAACUCUGCGGUGGCCUCCUUACCAGAAGUAUCUUUGGCAGCACUGACGCCCUCUGCAAAGGGGGCUGGGGGCAGGGUUUGAGGAUGGGGAGCAGGGGAGGGGUCUUUGGGGCUGUUCUCUGGGAAGCAAAGUCUAGGAGCAUCGAUGCCAUCUCUACCCCAUCCACAUUUCCCCUGGCUCCAGGACCACUUUUUGCCACUCUCAGAGGGUGGUUCUGGGCCUCCCCUACCCCACGGGAAGUUUGAGUAGGCACGUUUCAGAGCUCAGCCCGGGCUCAGACAGCUGACACCUGCAGCCCCUUGGAGAAACUGUCAGCCACAGAGUGGAGCAGAUAGAACCGACCCCACCCCAAAGCAAUUCCCUUCAAAGGAAGAACCCCACCCUGGGGUGGGCCUGUGCGGGGGACCCUAAGCUCCUUGAUCUCCUCCUUUGAAGGAGGGAUAGCAGCAGGGGCUCAGGCCUGAACCCUAACAUCUCUACCUGGUAGGGGAGGUGGGCAGGGAAAUUUCUGGGCCUGCAGAGGCUCCUCCUCUGCACUAUGGAGCUGAGAAGACCACGUCAGGGGUAGGGGAACCGCUGGCAAACCCGACUCCAAGGCUGAAUGUGCACAGUAUGGCCUCCUACCUCACACACUCGACUUGCCAAGGCCCUGGACCUCACUUGGCUUCCAGAACUUCUGGAGAGUGGACAAGAGAAGAGGGCUGGGGAUGGAGAUGCUCAGAGACGUCCCUUCCCGUCUCUUGGCCUAUCUCUGUUUCAGGCACUGCUCCCCACUCUGACAGCCAGGCUGCAAGAUGGCCCCCAGUGACUCCUGUCUCCCUCAGUUCACACCCUUGCAUUGCCCCCUCCUGCUUGCACCAGGUUGGUCUCUGUGAUCAAUAGAAUAGGGCAGAAAUUAUGGCACGUUGCUUUCAAGAUCAAAUCUAAUCUUGAAAUAAAGAUGUGGUAGCUUUUGUCUUUUCCACGCUGUCCCUCUGGGGGAAGCCAGUUGCUGUGUCGUGUUGUGAGAGGCCCCAUAAAGACACCCACACAGGGAGGAGUUAAGGCCUCUGGCCGACAGCCUCCCGAGUGAGCUGUCUUGGAGGCAGAAUCUCCAGCCCCAUCCCAGCCUUCAGAUGGCUCCAGACCUGACCCUCACCUCAGCAGCAACCUCAUGAGCAACCCUGUGCCAGAACUACUCAGCAAGACUGCUCCUGGAUUCCUCGUUGUGUGAGAUAAUGUUUAUUAUUAUUGUUAUUAUUCUUUUUAGACACAGGAUCUCACCCUGUCACCCAAGCUGGAGUGAAAUAGCACAAUCAUGGCUCACUACAGCCUGGAAAUCCUAGCCUCCAGUGAUUCUUCUCCCUCAGCCUCCUGAAUAACUAGGACCACAGGUGCAUGCCACCGUGCCCAGCUCAUUUUUAAAUUCAAAAAGAAAAAAAAAUGGUAGGCUGGGUGUGGUGGUUCACGCCUGUAAUCCCAGCACUUUGGGAGGCCGAGGCAGGCGGAUCACGAGGUCAGGAGAUCCAGACCCAUCCUAGCUAACACAGUGAAACCCCGUCUCUACUAAAAACACAGAAAGUUAGCCGGGCGUGGUGGCUGGCGCCUGUAGUCCCAGCUACUCCAGAGGCUGAGGCAGGAGAAUUGCUUGAACCCGAGAGGCGGAGCUUGCAGUGAGCCGAGAUGGCACCAAACUGCACUCCAGCCUGGGCGACAAAAGCAAAACUCUGUCUCAAAAAUAAUUUAUUAAUUAUUAAUUAAAAUACAAAAAUUCAAAAAUUAGCAGGGUGUGGUGGUAUGCACCUGUAGUCCCAGCUACUUGGGAGGCUGAGGCAGGAGAAUCGCUUGAGCCCGGGAGAUGGAGGUUGCAGUGAGCCGAGAUCAAGCCACUGCACUCCAGCCUGGGUGACAGAGUGAGACUCUGUCUCAAAAAAAAAAA
rnacentral:lncRNA from 10 species